rfam:Solanum tuberosum cultivar DM 1-3 516 R44 scf00131_51, whole genome shotgun sequence.
AUACUUACCUGGACGGGGUCAAUGGUCGAUCGUGAAGGUCCAUGGCCUAGGCUGGUGACCUCCAUUGCACUUUGGAGGGGUACCUGCCUAAGAUCGGCCCAAGUGGUCGAGUCUACGUCAUAAUUUGUUGCUGAGGGGGCCUGCGUUCGCGCGGCCCCUGC